rnacentral:rRNA from 1 species
UACGUAGGGUGCAAGCGUUGUCCGGAAUUAUUGGGCGUAAAGAGCUCGUAGGCGGUCUGUCGCGUCGGCUGUGAAAACUCGGGGGCUCAACUCCGAGCUUGCAGUCGAUACGGGCAGGCUAGAGUUCGGCAGGGGAGACUGGAAUUCCUGGUGUAGCGGUGAAAUGCGCAGAUAUCAGGAGGAACACCGGUGGCGAAGGCGGGUCUCUGGGCCGAUACUGACGCUGAGGAGCGAAAGCGUGGGGAGCGAACAGG